GGUCCUGGUGUCCACAAAACACACAAUGCACGACAUGCGCGUGAGCCGCUUUAACAAUUUAUAUUUUGGAAUGAAUUUCCUUAUGGGACAAUGCGGAGGAGUACCCUAACCGGGAAAAAACGUCCGUAACGUAGAUAGGCAGAUAAUGUUACGGCCUAUCUAGUUUUUUUACUGUAAAUUGAUACAACGUGCACUGCGAUAAUGAUCUCAAGGCAAAAUCUUAAUAAUAUUGAAUAAAUGUUGUCCAGUCCCGUCAAAAUGGAACGCAAGUGUGACGACAGAUCAGCAGUGAAGACUCGCGUGAAGUUAUAAGGCCUAUCUAAUUACCACUAGCCUCUAUUGGCUGUUCUGGUUUCACUGAGGGCUUAAGGCGAGCUCAUGGAGCUCAGCCGGAGACGCUUUGGUAACAUCUGCCCUAGCAAGAGUAGUUUCUUCUUGAAAUCUUCCACUGGAUCGGAAUCGCAAACCACUGAAAAGAUCUGGCGAGAAGCUCAAUGGGUUGUGUUUGGAUCAAGUUGCAUUUCAAACUCAAGACAAGUUCGACGAGAACAGUGACCGGUGCUUGGAGAGACCGAAUUACUGAGUGUGGAUCGUCUGGAUCCAAAAUGACGUAUUUAAUGUGUGUUCUGACAUGUAAUUUGACAAUAUUCAAAUAUCGACGAAUAACAAACACCUCAGUCGUCCGUGAUCACAAAACUGUAAAGUAUUUGAAUCGUCCGUAAUAAUAUGAUGACAAUAAAAAACCCGAGAAUAAACCGUAAAAGUAA